rnacentral:rRNA from 1 species
UUGACGGAGAGUUUGAUCCUGGCUCAGGACGAACGCUGGCGGCGGGCCUAACACAUGCAAGUCGAACGCAGUCGACCUUCGGGUCACAUGACUGAGUGGCGAACGGGUGAGUAACACGUGAGGAACCUGCCCCGAAGACUGGAAUAACCCGAGGAAACUCGGGCUAAUACCGGAUACCCCCAGGUGGUCGCAUGGCCGCCUGAGGAAAUGCUCCGGCGCUUCGGGAGGGUCUCGCGGCCUAUCAGCUAGUUGGUGAGGUAACGGCUCACCAAGGCUCCGACGGGUAGCUGGUCUGAGAGGACGAUCAGCCACACUGGGACUGAGACACGGCCCAGACUCCUACGGGAGGCAGCAGUGGGGAAUCUUGC